rnacentral:lncRNA from 1 species
CACAUGCAUCCGGUCUCUAGGAGUCGUCCACAUGAGCCCAUGAAUCACGAUUAGAAGUUCUGAUCCAGGAAAUCUGCACAGUAUGCUAGUACUGUGCUGAUCCUUCUUUGAUGGUCGAUCAGAUGCCUCCUUCUUCUUGAUUUGAACUCUUUCAAAGAUGAGAAGUAGGAGAAGGAGUUUUAGAUGUAAGACACUUUCAAAAAACUUACAGAUGG